rfam:Picea glauca, whole genome shotgun sequence.
ACAUUCCUACAACAUACUGUUAAUGCACCAGAUACCAUUAGGACUCCACAGUUAAGUACGCUCAAGCUAGAGUAGUACUAGGAUGGGUGACUGCUCGGAAAGUCCGUGUUUUAUAUUCC